rnacentral:rRNA from 1 species
GAUGAACGCUGGCGGCGUGCCUAAUACAUGCAAGUCGAGCGAACAGACGAGGAGCUUGCUCCUCUGACGUUAGCGGCGGACGGGUGAGUAACACGUGGAUAACCUACCUAUAAGACUGGGAUAACUUCGGGAAACCGGCGCUAAUACCGGAUAAUAUAUUGAACCGCAUGGUUCAAUAGUGAAAGUCGGUUUUGCUGUCACUUAUAGAUGGAUCCGCGCCGCAUUAGCUAGUUGGUAAGGUAACAGCUUACCAAGGCAACGAUGCGUAGCCGACCUGAGAGGGUGAUCGGCCACACUGGAACUGAGACACGGUCCAGACUCCUACGGGAGGCAGCAGUAGGGAAUCUUCCGCAAUGGGCGAAAGCCUGACGGAGCAACGCCGCGUGAGUGAUGAAGGUCUUCGGAUCGUAAAACUCUGUUAUUAGGGAAGAACAAAUGUGUAAGUAACUAUGCACGUCUUGACGGUACCUAAUCAGAAAGCCACGGCUAACUACGUG